rnacentral:rRNA from 1 species
UGGGGAAUUUUGCACAAUGGGGGGAACCUUGAUGCAGCGACGCCGCGUGAGGGAUGGAGGCCUUCGGGUUGUGAACCUCUUUCGCUCGUGUGCAAGCCGCUAUUUGGGUAGUGGUGAGUGUAGCGGGUAAAGAAGCGCCGGCUAACUACGUGCCAGCAGUCGCGGUAAUACGUAGGGCGCGAGCGUUGUCCGGAUUUAUUGGGCGUAAAGGGCUUGUAGGCGGUUUGUCGCGCUUGUCGUGUAAUCCUCUGGCUUAACUGGGGGUGUGCGGUGGGUACGGGCAAGCUUGAGUGCGGUAGGGGAGAUUGGAAUUCCUGGUGUAGCGGUGGAAUGCGCAGAUAUCAGGAGGAACACCGGUGGCGAAGGCGGGUCUCUGGGCCGUUACUGACGCUGAGGAGCGAAAGCGUGGGGAGCGAACAGG